UAGAGAGUUAUUAUACAGUGACCAGUGAAAUGCACGCAUUGGUAACCAACAAUGGUAAAAACUCUGCGUAUCCAAGAAAGCUUCAUCAAUUGAAAUUUAUUUUUGACAGUGAACUUUCUACGACUGAAGAAAUCUAAUUGCCAAUAUGUCUGAAAGAAAGGCUGUAAUUAAGAAUGCUGACAUGUCAGAAGACAUGCAACAGGAUGCUGUUGACUGUGCAACACAAGCUCUAGAGAAAUACAACAUUGAGAAAGACAUUGCCGCUUACAUCAAGAAAGAGUUCGACAAAAAAUACAACCCAACAUGGCAUUGUAUCGUUGGACGUAACUUUGGUAGCUACGUGACACAUGAAACCAAACACUUCAUAUACUUUUACUUGGGACAAGUUGCCAUCUUGCUCUUCAAAUCCGGUUAGAGAUUAUACUAAAUUAUAAAGUACUAGUCACAGUAAUCUUUAUAUAUGACAAGCCUUAUAUCGCGCAUCGGGUCCAAAGGAACGAAAUGAACACUGCCAGCGUUAUAUUUAACCAUGUGAUUGCCGAUUGCGGUAAACUAUUGCCUAUGAAUUAAUGAUGUGAACAUUUUAGAUGAACAACAUAUUUUGACCUAUUUAUUAUUGUUAUACCUUGUUUUGUUACUAACGAGUUUAUAAUAAAAUUUGAAAAAGCA